ensembl:lncRNA
UUCUUCACCACUAGCGCCCCCUGGGGAGCUCAGUAUCCGUAAGCAGGGUCAAUAGCUUCCAGCCUGAGCCUGGAUGCAUGCAUUCUAUCCUCCUUCCUGAUGGCUUUGAGAAUGGCUGCCCAUUCCGACGCUGGAAGCUCGCAGCUAAGGAGCGCUGUGGCUCUGAAUUUACUGGAAUGUUGAGCCCUUAACUGCUGCUGCAAUCAUGCCGUCCUGAUUCCUCUCUGCCCCUGAGCCGUGAAAGCCCCGCCCCUGGGAGCCGCCUGCUGGAGAAGUUACUGGUGCUUCUCGCCUGGCGGAGCAAGCACGUUGGCUCCUAUCAGUUCCUUGAGAAGCAGUUAGCCCAGGCGACCCCCAGGGAGCGCAGUCGCAGGCCCCUGUGCUGGGGAGGAGCCUCCAGCGCUCUCACAGCAAACUUGGGGUGGUCACCGGCCGCCUCGCCUCGCUGGUGCACAAGAGGGAGCGUGAGACGAAGAAAAGAGGGUCCCAAAGAUGGCCGACUUUCAGGCUCGGUUAAACCAUACGGCCAGCCUUGUUGCCUAGGUUAUAAAGAAGCAGGGUCUGUCUGACCAAAAGGAGGCGAAGUCCAGAAAGCUUCUCUUGAGUGACUGUCUCAUCUGAGAAAACUGGGCUUACCAUCCCAUCCAGACCUCCAAGAGCAAGGGAGGAAGGCUGGACUUUGUGAGCGCCAAAGAAUUGAUGCUUUUGAACUGUGGUGUUGGAGAAGACUCUUGAGAGUCCCUUGGACUGCAAGGAGAUCCAACCAGUCCAUUCUGAAGGAGAUCAGCCCUGGGAUUUCUUUGGAAGGAAUGAUGCUAAAGCUGAAGCUCCAGUACUUUGGCCACCUCAUGUGAAGAGUUGACUCAUUGGAAAAGACUCUGAUGCUGGGAGGGAUUGGGGGCAGGAGGAGAAGGGGUCAACAGAGGCUGGAUGGCAUCACUGACUCGAUGGACGUGAGUCUGAGUGAACUAGGUCUGGCGUGCUGCGAUUCAUGGGGUCGCAAAGAGUCAGACACGACUGAGCGACUGAACUGGACUGGACUGGACUGGACUUUGUAAACCGCAAGUUGAUCAGCACUUAAAAAUCUUCCCUUGCCUUCCUAGUACCUUCCGCAUAACCCAAACCCUCCCCUAGGACAUCUGAGGCUUCAGCACUUGCUCCCAGGAGCCUCAUCUUUCCCCACCUGCUGUCUCUCACCUUCCCUUCCUGGUGUGCCGGACCCCCUGGAGCCCAGCGUUCUCUUUCACUUUACCCAUCAGCAGCGCAGACUAGACCCUUCAGCACUCAACCAGGCAACAGCUGGUCCGGAAGGCCAGCCCAAGGCAGCCAAGCAACACUGGGACCCUUACACAUCAUACAGGACUGACUUGGGUGUGCCAGCCUCCCCUGAUCAGACGUCUUGAGGGCACGGAACUGUGCUUACCCAUUUCUGAAAACCUAGUGCCCUCCAGAGUGGUGGUUGUAUCCACUAGAGAAGCUGUGAGCAAGAUGACAAUGGAGAAUUUUUGCAGUGUCUCAUGUGCCGGGCACAACAUGGAUGUUGUUGCCUGUAUUGUUAUAUUUAAUCCUAAUUUUGACCAUGUAAAGAUAUCUUCAAUACUUAUCUGACACAUGAAGAAAAUAAAGAUCAACAAAGUUCAAUGAUGGAAGGUCAUUGCGGUGGAAGCGGUAAGGUGACUUCUGAAUCCCCUCCAGCAGAGGACUGCCGGGCUCGCCUCCUCGCCGCGUUGCCUGUGGCUCUCCUCACCCCAGGACCGCGCCCUCUGGCUGGCAGCCGCACCCCGAGUGAGCACCACGGGGUCGCCCGCACUCAGGCGCCGCUUCCUGGUGCCCUCGUGGAGUCAGCAAGGCCUCCCGUGAGACCGCACUGCCUCUCAGCUCUCUGUCUAAUCCCUCCCUGGGGCACUGAUGCCAAAGCCAGCCUUAAUCAGCUUCCUGUUUUCCUUUCUGUCUCAGAGUCAGCUUCCCAGGGAGCCUCGCCAGGAGGAGUCUGGCAGCCAGUAGCUGGUGGAGCCCGGGGACCAGACGAGCGGCCCGCCUCAGCGCUCUGCUUGUGCUCCCCUGGACUGCACCCCCUCCGGUGAUGAACAGGCCUUUCUUUCCUCUGUAUCCCCGGGACUCAGCACAGGCGCUCAGCAAGUACCUGCCCGCCAUCCUUCGCUCUGUGGUCUGGCUCGGGUGCUUAGGCUCACUUGUUGACAGCUCUCGCCCCCGGAAUCCUCACAAUGAAGUCUGCUGCCUCGAGGGGCCAGGCAAACGAUCUUCUAAACUCAGGACGUCGGAUCAGUGCAGACUGCAAAUGUCUCACUCAAGGAAACAGGAGUCUUGCUGGAAUGUUAGCAAACCACGUGGACUGUGAUUCUGCUUUUGUAAAAGGCACAGAGAGCGCUGCACACCACUUUGUGCAGGAUAUUUUGUUUUAUACAACAUAUUUUAGUUCCAAGUACUUAAGGAAAUCUGCGUUCAAUUAUUAACUGACCACUAGUGGAACAGAGACUUCACUGGACACACACAGCAGAGACUACAGACCAAAAAAAAUGAGUUCAGAAAAGUAAGCAAGCAAACACGUUCAAGAAACAACAAACACUGCGGGAAGGAUUAUAAUAGUCACAUGUAUGAUAUCAGAAUGCCCUGUUUCCAACAACAGCAAAGUAAUAUGACACACACAAAUAAGACAGUGCGCUCCAACCACAAGGGGGGAGCAGUCAGUAGACACUGUCCCCAAACAAACCAGCUGCUGGGCUUUUAGACAGAUAGUUUAAACUGGCUAUUAAAAAUAUCUUCAAACAGCUAAAACUUCUAAAACACUAGAGGAAAUCAUGAGAAUAGUUUCUCACCAAUAGGAAAUAUCAACGAAGAGAGAGAUUUCAUGAAAAAAGACCUAAAUGGAAAUUCGGAAGUUGAAAAACACAAUAUAAUAACUGAAAUGAAAAUUCACUAGAGGAAAUCAGCAACAAAUGAGCAGGCAGAGAGAAGGAAUCAGUGGACUUGAAGACAGACCAAUUAAGAUUAUCUAGUCUGAAAAGGAAAAAAAUGGGGAAAGAAAUGAACAGAGCAUAAGAGACCUGUGUGAGGCCAGCAAGCAAAGAGACAUGUGUAAUUGGGUGCCCAGGUAAAGAGAAAGAGAGGAAGAGGAAGGGGCAGAAAGAAUAUUUGAAAAAAUAAUGACAAAUACUUCCCAACUUUGAUGAAAGAUAUGAAUCAACAAAUCCAAGAAGCUCAAUGAAACUCAAGUUGGAAAAACUCAAAACCUCUACGCACAUUUUAAUCAAAUUGUCUAAAGACAAUCUUUAAAGUAGCAAGACAGAAGAGACUCAUCACAUAUAAAGAAUCCUCCAUAAGAUUAACAGCUGUUUUCUCAUAAAAAACCAUGGUGCCCAGAAGAAAGUAGCAUAUUCAAAUUUUUAGGAGAAAAAAAUUGUUAUCCAAAAUUUUUAACUAGCAAAACUAUUCUUUAAAAAAAAAUGGAGGAGAAAUUAAGAACUCCCUAAUAAAGAAAAACUGAAAGAAUUCGUUGUUAGUAGACCUGCCUCACAAGACACACUAAAAGGAGACCUUCAAGCAGUAAUGAAAGGACACCAGAGAGGAAUCUGAACCAACACAAAUAAUAAAGAACAGCAGUAAAGGUGCCUGCACAGGCAAAUGUUAGCCAGUGUGAGGAUUUCUACUUGUGACUCCUCUUUUUUCCAUUUUAUUUAAAAGACAAGUGUAAUCACUGUAAGUCUGUGUUUACGGGCACACAUGCCUAAAGAUGGAGUUUAUGCACUGUAAAGGAAGAUGGGAGAUAUAUAGAAGCAAAGCUUUAUAUAAUAUUGAAGUUGUUUGU